ACACAUACCAGAAUAUAAACCUGGAAUGUGUUUCAAAAUACAAGUACCUGGGUUUAUAUUUAAGCUCAUCUGGCUCAUUUAGUUAUGCUCAAAGUGAACUGUACAAGUAUCCUUAAAAGAUUAUUAUCAAUUGCGGAAAGAUUUUUUAUCUCUAAAUCCUAUCAUCAAAACAAGUAUUCAUGCUUUUGAUCACACUGUGAAACCUAUUUUAUUAUAUGGUAGUGAAGUAUGGGGAAUGUUUAAUUCUCUUUCCUCUAAAUGUAAGAAGGAAGAUGUAUCUCUUGAAAAAUUAUAUUCAGGUUUACCCGGUGAGAAACUUCACAUUAAAUUUAACAAAUUUAUACUUGGUGUGCACAAAAAAACAACAAAUGUUGCGUUAGAUUUCCAAUUUAUUUUAAUAUAAUUAAAGCGAUGCUAUUGUAUUGGUAUCGAUUAGAGAAUUUAGGAAGUAAUUUUCCUCUAUUAAAAGAGGCAUAUGAACAAUUUAAAACACUUCACCAACUGAAUAAAACAUCAUGGUAUGGUUCAAUAAAUGUUAUAUUGAAGUUACUUGGAAUUGAUUGUACAAAUGCAGUGUGUGAAACCUUUUGUUUUUCUUACUCGCCAAAUUGACGAGCAGCUUUUCAUUUCAACUCACCAAAUUGAAAUUCCACUUGCCAGCUUGGAGAGUGACUUACUUUUGGGACUCACCGUCUUUUUCAUACAUAAUUAUUAAAAGAUAUUAUUCCAAGUCCACUUACUAAAUGUAUGUACUUAUGUACAUUAGUUUUAUCCAUAACUGGUAACUUGACAAUUUAAAUUACUAUUAACAUAUAGUAGUCUCAGUUAUAUAAGGGAGCAGUCAACUUAUCUUUUGAUUAACUUGGGAGAGGGGUAUCAAAUAGAUUUUUACCACAGCUGACAAGUCAAAAGUUAUUUUUAUGUCAUAACCAGAUCUAGACUUCCUUACCUCAAUGAUUAUGGAUAAAUCUUAGUACAAAUGCUGGAUUUUGAGCAGCCUCUUCUACUAUAAUUGUCACUUUUUAUACGACCGCAAAAAAUUUUUGUGGUCGUAUAUUGGUAUGACGUUGGCGUCGUCGUCGUCCGGCGUCGUCGUCCGAAUACAUAUUGGUUUUCGCACUCUAACUUUAGUUUAAGUGAAUGGAUCUUUUUGAAAUUUGACCAUAAGGUUAAAUACCACAAAAGGAAGGUUGGGAUUGAUUUUGGGGGUUAUGGUACCAACAGUUAAGGAAUUAGGGGCCAAAAAGGGGCCAAAAAUGAGCAUUUUCUAGUUUCCAGACAAUAACUGUGGAACGGUGUAUGGAUCUCUCUGAAAUUAUACUACAAGUUUCCAUACCACAAAGGGAUGGUUAGGAUUUGCUUUGGGGGGUUAUGGCUCAAACCGUUUAGGAAUUAGGGGCAAAAAAGGGGGAAAAACAAGGUUGUCCUGGUUAAUGGACAAAUACUUUAGUACAAAACAUAAUUUAAAGCAGUGUAAGGGAGAUAAAUCAAAUACAUCAUUGAAAUUAUCUCCCUUACACUGCUUUUAAAUUAUGUAUAAAGUAAUGGUUAAUGAACAAUAAAGAUAAUCUAAAACAGUGUAAGGGAGGUAAUCCAAAUACAACGUUUUGGUUACUUCCCUUACACUGCUUUUCAAUUAUGUUUAAAGAAAUGCAUAUUUAUAAAGGAAGACCAGUAAAAAAUCUGCAAAUGUUUUCAUCUUUUUUUUUAACAAAAAAAUCCACAUGAAAGAUUUGACACUAUAUUUUUAUUAAUUCUAUUAUAAAAUAGAUUAAGUUAGCACUAUGGUAAAUUUAAAUGGGUAAUUAUGGUUGCCAACUCCAUUGGAAAUUUGAAUUGAGAUUAUGACCAUAUCUUGAGGGAAAGAAUUUUUUUGGGGGAAAAAGGGGGGGGGGAUAAAAAGAAAUUGUGGGGGGGCAAUUUUUUCUCAUUUCAGAUUUCAGAAAUUAAAAAGAAUUAUUCUUCAAAUAUUUUUUUUUUUUCAAAUUUCAAAUAUUGAAAAAUUUCAAGAAGUAAUCUUUAAUUGCACAGUAUGGCGCAUUAGAUUUGUAAAAUCUUUGAUCACAUUUAUUUAUUUGUUAUGCCGAAUCUAACAGUGUAUUAAGAUUUUUAAUUUUGGGUCCAGUUUUCAAAUUGGUCUACAUUAAUGUCCAAAGGGUCCAAAAUUAAACUUUGUUUGAUUUUAGCAAAAAUUGAAUAUAUGAGGUUCUUUGAUAUGCUGAAUCUUAACAUGUAUUUAGAUUUUUGAUUUUUGGCCCAGUUUUCAAGUUGGUCCAAAUUGGGGUCCAAAAUUAAACUUUGUUUGAUUUCAACAAAAAUUGAAUAUGUGGGGUUCUUUGAUAUGCUGAAUCUAACCAUAUAUUUAGAUUUUUUAUUUGUGGACCCCGUUAUCUAAUUGGUUCAUAUUGAGGUCAAAAGGGUCCAAAAUUAAACUUUGUUUGAUUUCAUCGGAAAUUGAAUUAUUGGGGUUCUUUGAUAUUCCAAAUCUAACCGUGUAUUUAGGUUUUUUAUUUUGGGUCCUGUUUUUUAAAUUGGUCUACAUUGAGGUCCAAAGGGUCCAAAAUUAAACUUAGUUUGAUUUUAACAAAAAUUGAAUUCUUGGGGUUCUUUGAUUUGCUGAAUCUAAACAUGUGUUUAGAUUUUUGAUUAUGGGCCCAGUUUUCAAGUUGGUCCAAGAUAGGGUCCAGUAUUUAAACUUUGUUUGAUUUCAACAAAAAUUGAAUAUAUGGGGUUCUUUGAUAUGCUGAAUCUAAACAUGUAUUUAGAUUUUUGAUUAUGGGCCCAGUUUUCAAGUUGGUCCAAAUUGGGGUCCAAAAUUAAACUUUGUUUGAUUUCAACAAAAAUUGAAUAUAUGAGGUUCUUUGAUAUGCUGAAUCUAACCAUGUAUUUAGAUUUUUUAUUUGUAGGCCCCGCUAUCAAAUUGGUUCAUAUUGAGGUCAAAAGGGUCCAAAAUUAAACUUUGUUUGAUUUCAUCGGAAAUUGAAUUAUUGGGGUUCUUUGAUAUGCCAAAUCUAACCGUGUUUUUAGAUUUUUAAUUUGGGUCCCGUUUUUUAAAUUGGUCUUCAUUGAGGUCCAAAGGGUCCAAAAUUAAACUUAGUUUGAUUUUAGCAAAAAUUGAAUUCUUGGGGUUCUUUGAUAUGCUGAAUCUAAACAUGUGUUUAGAUUUUUGAUUAUGGGCCCAGUUUUCAAGUUUGUCCAAGUUGGGGUCCAAAAUUAAACUUUGUUUGAUUUUAACAAAAAUUGAAUAUAUGGGGUUCUUUGAUAUGCUGAAUCUAACCAUGUAUUUUGAUUUUGGACAUUGGACCAUAAUAGAUAAAUUAAAAAAAUUCAAGUUCUUAGACCACAUUCUUUCUGUGUCAGAAACCUAUGCUGUGUCAAAUAUUUAAUAACAAUCCAAAUUCAGAGCUGUAUCAAGCUUGAAUGUUGUGUCCAUACUUGCCCCAACUGUUCAGGGUUCGACCUCUGCGGUCGUAUCAAGCUGCGCCCCAGCGAAGCAUUUUAUUUAUUUUAUAAAAACAUGAAUAUUACACUGUGUGGAAAAGUUCUGCACCAAAGGCUUUUUUAUAUUCAGUUUCUGGUUUUGCUUUUUUAUUUAGUUUCUUUUGUUUUUUUAAAUUAUUUAGCCUUAAAAACUUUUCCAUAUUGAAAUUACUAUUUCAUAAUUUGCCUCCAGAUUGAACUUGUUUAACAUUCAGAGAAGUAUAAAAAAUGGCUUUCAAAUCUGGUCAACGAAUACAAUGUCCAUCCUGUAUUUUGCUUAGGCAACAACCAUUUUCUUAUCUGCGGGGGGGGGGGGGGGCUGGGAUUUUUUUGAAAAAAAUAUUUUGAUGGCCUAGCUGACCGAAAAAAAAUUUAGAUUUUGCACUGUAGCUGAAAAUUUUUUUAUGGUUUUGUGAAAAACAUGAUAGGGAAAAAAAAUUUUGCUUUCCUUCUCAUAAGAAAAAAAAAAAAUUUAUCGGAGGAAGGUUCUGAAAAAAAAAUUAUGAACACAAUGAAAAUCCCAGGCCCCCCCCAGAUAAGAAAAUGGUUGUUGCCUUAAAAUAAACAUACAUGGACCAUAGGAAAGUAAUAAAAUUAUAAAAUGUUUUAUUUGUAACCCACUGAUAGUCCCCACUGUAUGCAAAUUACAUUUAUUUUAGUCAUUUCAAGAAAUUAAAAUCAGUGAGGUGGGGAUCGUAUAAUAGGUUUUAGCACGCUGAUUCAAUGAAGUGUCAAGGUUGUCAUAAUAAUGUUUUAGUUUGCCAUCACUUCCUGGGUAUAUGCACAAGGAUAUGUCUUUUUUACCCUCUUUGCCAUGGUAUUUGCCUUUUUACCCUUCACACAAUGCCUGAUCAUUUGUGUGUUUUAUUAAAUACAGUUAGUGAAAGAAUUAUGGUAUAAAAUCAAAUAUUUAACUUAAUCAUCCAUAUUGAUAUGCAGUGUAAUUAAACAAAUAAUGCCCCAAGGGUGACUGCAUGGGGAAUAGAAAUAUGGUCACUACAGGUCUUCUUCCGACCGGCAGUAAAACCCUUACCAAAGUGGGGCGGCCAUUUGGCUGUGCGGGAUGUAUCAAGUAUGCAGCCACGUCCGGUCAGAAGGGGACGUUAAAUCUGAUGCCUCGUGGAGAGAGUGCCACGCUCUCUGCACGUUAAGAACCCUUUUAACAACUCUUUGAGGGGUCCGUAGGUGGCCUGCUGCAAGGCAAAAUUUCUGUCCCUAUCCAAUAUACCCUCAUUUUCCAGUGGCAGCAGGGGUGUGGAAAUGCUAUGCCCGACUCGCCCGAUUCGUCCAUUUGAACAACCGGACAAGUAAUUUUUGUCGAGCCUAGCUCGACAUAGGGAUACUGAUCCGGCGGCGGCGGCGACGUUAGCUAACUUCUUAAAUGCUUUAUAUUUUAGAAGCUAGAAGACCUGGAUGCUUCAUACUUUGUAUAUAGGUGCCUUAUGUUACGAAGUUACUGUCUGUCAUACGUCAAUUGUCCUUGACCUCAUUUUCAUGGUUCAGUGACUACUUGAAAAAAAAGUCAACAUUUUUUGUAAUGUUUAUUUCUUUCUUAUUAUGAGUAAUAGGAUAACUAUAUUUAGUAUGUGCGUACCUUGCAAGGUCCUCAUGCCCGUCAGACAAUUUCCAUUUGACCUCGACCUCAUUUCAUGGAUCAGUGAACAAGGUUAAGUUUUCGUGGUCAAGUCAGAUACUAUAAGCAGUAGGUCUACUAUAUUUGGUAUAUGGAAUAAUUGUAAGGUGUACAUGUCCAACUAGUAGGUGUCAUCUGACCUUGACCUCAUUUUCAUGGUUCAGUGGUCAAAGUUAAGUUUUUGAGUUUUGGUCUUUUUUUCUAAUACUAUAUGCAAUAGGUCAACUAUAUUUGGUGUAUGGAAAUAUUUUAUGAUGUACAUGUCAGUCUCGCAGGUUUUAUUUGACCUUGACCUCAUUUUCACGGUUCAUUUCUCAGUGUUAAGUUUUUGUGUUUUGGUCUGUUUUUCUUCAACUAUAAGCAAUAUAUCAACUAUAUUUGUUGUAUGGAAGGAUUGUAAGGAUUAUAUGUCUGUCUGGCAGGUAUCAUCUGACCUUGACCUCAUUUUCAUGGUUCAUUGGUCAAUGUUAAGUUUUCAUGGUUAAGUUUGUUUCUUAGAUACUAUAAGCAAUAGGUCCACUAUAUUUAAUGCAUAAAUUGAUUGUUAGGUGUACAUGUCUGCCUGGCAUGGUUCAUCUGACCUUGACCUCAUUUUCAUGGUUCAUUGGUCAAUGUUAAGUUUUCUUGGUUAAGACUGUUUCUUAGAAACUAUAAGCAAUAGGUCAACUAUGUUUGGUUUAUUGAAUGAUUGUAAGGUGUACAUGUAUUUCUCGUUUGGUUUAUCUGACCUUGACCUCAUUUUUUUGGAUCAUGUUAAGUUUAUGUGUUACUUGUACUAAAGCUUUAUAUUUAGGACUAUCAACAUAAAAUCAAUGGUUAGUAAAGAAGGCGAGACAUUUCAGUGUGUGCACUCUUGUUUUUGUCUGGGUUGCCCGUGGACAAGUAAAAAAUUACAGUUGACAAAAUUCAUUUAAUCAAAAAUAUAGAAUUAUUUUCAUAAUUUAUUAAGAUGUAUUAUUUUAUGUAAAAGAAACCAAUGAUCAACAAGUGAAAAACAUAUAUUUAAAUCAAAACAUCAAUGUUCAUGAUGACAAGUAUUAAAAAAAAACGGAAAUAGAUCAAUAACCAAAAUUAAUAAAAAUAAGGCCACAUUUAAAAAUAUUUUGGUUUGCCCAAACCCUACCCAAAGGUAGAGACAGUGGGUAGGUAGGUAGGCAUUUUCUUUUUUUUUUUCUGCAAAGAGAAAUUGAAGUGUCAGAUGUUUGUUAGUCUUCAUGCCUAUCUGAUUAAAAAAAACUUUUUCACAUCAGGACAAUAAAAGAUUUUGAGUAGGCAGCUAUUUUCUGGGUAGGUAGGGUUAGGGCAAACAAACAUAUUCUUUUUUAUGGCCUAAGUAUGCGAACCCGGGUCUCAUAAACAUUGCGAUAUCUUUGUCCAUUGACCCGGGAUCGUCGAUUAGGUUUUAUUUGCCAUCUCACAGAAGUGUUAUUUUAAUUUUUCAUGAUUGCAUGGGUCUUAUCGAGAUGGAUAAAUACCUGAUAAAAACACCAAGACCUGGUGAUCAAGACAAAAAGAAUGAAAAUAAUAAUGAUGAGUCGAGUAAAAAACGGAAAACACAGGUGGAGAAAGACAAGGAAUAUGAAAAAAAUAAAAAAAAAAACAGAAGCGAGAAUUCCAGACC